ACGUGCUGUAGUUCAGGCUUUGUCCCGUACGUUGUCGGAUUUGAAGUUCCUGGUUGACGAACUAUCUUUUGUAGUUGAUGAGCCUCAUGAGCUGCUUUGUGCUUGUUGUACUGGAAAAGAUUUGAGAUCUGUGAAUGUAUAAUGUUUAACUGCUCUACACAACAGGAGAUUCAAGUGACAGGAGAUCGAGUUUGACCAAUUUGGCAAUAUGUACAUUGUACUGAGAGACAAGAUGAUACUCUAAGGCAAGCACAAUUUGCUACUGUAACGGCCUAGUUUAUAAAUGUGGACACAGACAGG